AUUGAUUUUUUUUUGUAAAAAAAAAAAAAAAAAAAAAAAAAAAAAUCUGUUCUUAUCAGUUUAAUAUCUGAUACGUCCCCCAUCGGGGACUACAUAUUAAAUGGAUUUUUCGAACAGGGAGUCGGAAAUGGGGCUUGCUCCCUGCAUUUGGUUUUGCAGUACCUCCGGGAACGGUGCAACACUUU